UUUUUAAAUUGAGAGUUUGAUCCUGGCUCAGGAUGAACGCUGGUGGCGUGCCUAAUACAUGCAAGUCGUACGCUAGCCGCUGAAUUGAUCCUUCGGGUGAAGUGAGGCAAUGACUAGAGUGGCGAACUGGUGAGUAACAC
rnacentral:rRNA from 1 species